AAAUAUGUCGAUCACAUUGUCAUUAACUCACACAGGGUUAUCUUGAUGACCUUUUAGUUUUCAAAGCAAAAGCACAGAACCAAUGCUCUUCAAAGCAGCACAGCUGUUGUCCAUUCCUACUUUUUUUUGCAUGUGGCCGAGAUAAAUGCUAAGUCUAAAAACAUGAGUCUCUUCUAACUUGCAAGAUCAAAACUAUUUGCAUGUCCCUGUUACAUUAUGUGUCCUCCCGCAGUCUCAUCCUUCAGUUAUGUUUGUCUCUAAAUUUCUGAUAAACCAGUCUGCUCUCUUUUCAGCCGCCUCCCUGCUUUCUCUCUCCUUCUCCCCGUGUCACCCAGAUGUUUAACCAUUGAAGUGUUUCUUUAUAUAAUAUAGGGCUACAUUCCAAAAAGCAAAUGGGAGAUGGACACGUCCGAGGCGAAACUUGACAGGUUGGAUGGUCUGGGGAGCGGUGGGAAAAGGAAACGUGAAGACAUGUCCGGCCUGGAGGACUACCUUCAGCUGCCAGACGAUUAUGCUACGCGCAUGUCACAACCAGGAAAGAAAAGGGUUCGCUGGGCUGAUCUCGAAGAGAAGAAGGAAGCAGAUCGAAAGCGCGCUAUCGGCUUUGUGGUGGGUCAAACGGACUGGGAAAGAAUAACGGACGAGAGCGGCCAGAUGGCACAAAGAGCUCUUAACCGUACCAAGUAUUUCUAAGAAGAUAAUCUUUUCCCCCUUCAUUGAAAGGUUUCAAGAAUGUGAAAAUACUGAAGCUCGCUUGUAGUGGAACAAGAGACUCAUCCAGGUGGCAAGAUCACCGAUUGUUAUCAGAUUAUUAGUUAUUUGUUCGAUAAGGAUACAGGUCUUUUUCCAUUAUUUUUAAAGAGACACUGCUUAUUUGCUGUUCAAUUUGUAGUUUGUAACCGUGCAUCUUCUGGUCAUGGUCUGUAUUCAGUUAUGUAACUGUUUUAUACUCUUCAUGCUUUCUGUACUGUAGCCGUGUUUUUUGGUCCAUGAGUUCUUGAAAAAACACAAUAAACGUUCACAAAAUUAC